CUACAAUAGUUUGAAAUAAAUAAAGUUUUGAUUUAAAAAGGAAAAAGGGAUUUGAAAGUUUUGAAAGUUGGUAUGAGAGUGUACUUUUUAGGUGAAAAUUUAAAACAAGAGUUUAGAAGAGAAGGAACCAUAAUAUUUAAGAACAGUAAUAGCUAAUAUUGAUUGAGUUCUUACUAUGUGCCAGACACCAUUGUAAAUGCUUUGUACAUAUUCAUUCAUUUAAUCCUCACACUCAUUUUCUGAGGAGAUACUAUUGUCAUCUCCGUUCUAGAUCAGGAAACGGAGUCACAGACAUGUUAGAUAACAGAAGGUCAGGUGGUACUAAAACCUGAACUUAGGCUAUCUGGCCUCAGAGCCAUGCUCUUCAUCACCAUGCCAGAUUGCUAGGAGACCCCUCUCCCAUCCUGUAGGCAUCAGACUUGGCUGCUUUAAAGCUUUCCCUUGCUUUUUGAAAAUCAAGUAUGACCCCCAAAUCUGUACACAAGCAGAUGCAUUCUGUAAUAAAUGAAAAUACAAAACUCAGCUAUUGAGUCACUUUUAAAUAUGCUUAUUUAGCACAAAAAUUAUAAAAUCUCUAAAAA
rnacentral:lncRNA from 1 species